AUGAAGAAACAAUAAUGACUGUGGGGCAAUUAGCAUGGUGUUAGUGGUGUGUCAGCAGCAGGCUUUCACCCAUGUUAGUAUUCACAGCAUAGCUUGGGUGGAGUGCUCAAGAGAAUUCCUCUAAUGCACCAUUACCAUCACACUGGAAAUCUGGACUUCAGAGAUCUAGUUCCACCUCCUGAACCAAAAUGCCUUCUUUUCUAAGAUGAAUACUGCAAAGGGCAAUAAGAAGGGUGAAUGUUUUCUGGCAUGCCACAACAGGCAUGAGUUCAUCCUGUGGCCAAGAGUGCUAAAUUACUAGCCAGAAACACAACCAGCACCAACGGAGGACCCUGGAUCUCCAAACCUCUUGAACUCACAAGGCAAGAAUCAUUUCCUUCAAGAUUUUGGUCAGCAAAAGAAACGAGCUCAAAACAGAAAAGUCAGCCAGACAUGUAGACUUUAGUUGCCACAUGGGAGUGGUCAUCAUCCAGGUGGACUGAGGCAGCUUUCUCU
rnacentral:lncRNA from 1 species